rnacentral:lncRNA from 1 species
UAUCUCUAUCUCAAAAAGAUAAUUAUUUCGUAAUUAUAUAAAAAUAGUAAUUAAAUAUCUAUAAAUAGUCUUAAAACUAGUUAUUCCUCCUAAUUUUUAUAUCAUUUACUAGAUAACUUUUGUCCGUGCGCGCACGGGCUUAAUAUUAUUUAAGUAAUAUUAACCACACUUCAUGACUCAAGUGUGUUAUUAGAAACUGUAACGGAAGUUGCAGUAACUAUGAAAAUAUCUGACAUGAGUAUACAUAUGAAUGAUGGAUGUGUAAGCUCCACAAAGCUUAAUCCUCAACAGUUAUGAUCACUGUGAUUCUUGUAUAACUGAUAUCUGUUGGAGCUAUAAUAGCAUUUAGAUCUGCCAUUCAACCAUUAAAUUUUUUCACUUCACUUUCGAUUAUUGAAAUUCACAGAUAAAAAUAGAUGAGAAUGGAUCAAUUUAUAUGCUAAACUUGUCUAUACACUUGCGCUUCAAUUACUCACAAAAAGUCAAAAACAACUCCAAUUUAUAUUCAUGACCAAACACAAUUCCAAAUUUCAUAUAUCAUUUUUCACUUUGAAAACAAAUUUUUUUUUUUUUUUCAAAUUUCACAAUGAAACAUUACCAGAUAGCCAAUAACUUUCUAAACAAUGUUGCUUUCACUAACUCCUCUAGUAUGAGUAUCUUGAAUUAACAACAUGUUGAGGAUUUAUGGCCUUUUGUUCUCUGUUUGGAAGAUCCUCUAAUUUCUUUUUCGCCAUAUAAACUCCCGCAGCUAAUGUCAUUCUAAAAACUUCUGCAUGUAAACUAUUGUCUUUGAAGUUUGUAAUUUUCUAAUUCAUCCCACUUCCAUCCUUGAGCUUGUCUUUGAAUUUGCAGUUAUAUUAGCAUGGUAUUCCAGACUUGCACUAAAUAAGGGCACAUAAAAAAGAGAUGUUCAGCAUACUCAUUAUCCUUGAUGUGUAGUCCACACUUCUCAUCCUCCAAGCAUCUUCAUCUGGCUAACCUUCCCUUUGUAAACAGCUUGCUAUAUAGGAUAAGUUGACCAUUUAGGAGGGUAUAUUUUGUUGUAAAUCAGCCUUGUCCAAUUAACCUUCUGGUAAGCUCUUUUUAGCUGAAGAGUUUGCUGAUAGUAAACUUAUCUGAUCUUAGUACAUCCAUUUCUCACCUACCAACUUCCUCAAAGUAUUUGUGAACUUCGAUGAUAACAGAUAAAAAUAUAUGAAAAUGGUCAAUUUGUAGUCCAACGAAAAGAAUCACUCUUUUCGCCUCCAAACAGUUCAUUAAUUUUGGCAAAACUAUGAUACUAUAUUUUGUCCCCAAUCAAAAUUAUGAGUCGGAUGAAUUUCAACAAUUAGCUAGUGAUCCAUCAAGACAUUUGACUAAAAAUUCAACAUGCAGCUCAAAAGACUGAACCAUUCUAAUCUACAUAUUCAUCAGCUAACGAAACAAUCAGGCUCCAAAAGUUAAAGAUAUUUGAAAGUGUUAUCUGAGUUAAAAAUACCAUUUUUUAUAAUCUACAAUAUUUACCACCAAAACAACUUAGGCUCCAAUAAAUUGAAGGAACAACUAACCAGAAAGGCAAAACAACAACCUGAGUAGAACAAUCUGGGAAAGAGAAUAACAAUGUGCAUUCUUUAGGAGCUUAUUUCCGUCCCUGAGUUCUUCUUUGCGGGAGAUUCUAAAAUAGAGCUCAGAUUUUUCAAUCUUUCCUGCUGAAUCUCACUCGGGGACCUGUAAACACUAUCUAUUAUAUUGAAGUUUGGUUCAUUUUUUAAUUUGUGAUGGAUAUGAUCAAGCACAUAAUCCUGCAUCUUCAAAUACACCAUGUCUACAAUACAUUAUGUCACAUAUUUAAAAUUUUACCAACAAAAAUAGAACAAUAUUAACCCUAUCAAUUGAAGGUUUAACGACAUAAUAUGUUCACCAUGAACUUGUGCAGUUAGAAAUAAAAUAUUUAAAUAUUAUUGCUCGUUGUUCUUAUCGAUGAUUCGGUCAUUUACUUCAAAGAAUAUGCAAUUAUUGUCUUGUGCGGGAAAUUAUAUUACUUUUCUUUCCUUUUAAAUUAUCCCAAAAUUAAUCAUAUUAGUCACUAAUAUGUUCUCCUUAAAUAGUUUUGAGAUUUGCAGUAAAAAACAUUCUCGAGUGACUUUUAUGCAUGCCAUAUCAUAAAUUUAUAAAGCUAAGAUUAAAUGGAACAUGUGAAUGAGGGUUAGAACUUAGAAGAUUCACUACCAGCCAAAUGAGAUAUAGUGAAUAAAGUUUUCAAGAAUCAACUUCAAUAUCUUCUGCUUGUCGGUCCUUAUUCACCAAUGAAAAUAUUAAAAUUCCUACAUAAGAGAUCAAUUUAUUUUAAUAAUUUUUAGCGAAUCAAAAUUAAAGACAAUUUAAGCAUAGUAGAUUGCAACUAUCUAAAAAAAACAUACUACACUAAAUGUGUUCCUUGAAACUUAACUUCAUUUACCUCAGCAUGGCUGAUAUCAUAAUAUACUACUUGUAAGGCAUUCUACAAAUGGCUUCCGGACAAUUAGGAUAGAAACCACUCCAUCCAAUAUAAAUUAUAUUCAAAGUUGGGAAAACGAGGUCUGGUUCAAUCAAGGUAUAGCUUAACGGAAUGAAAGAGAAUUAGUGUAUUAAGCAAGUAGGAAAAAGCAGAAAAAGGGACUUCAGACGUUGUUCUCAAGUCUAGUUAACGAAAGCCCCAAGUCACCAAUAACAUUGAGCAAAACUCUUUCCUGAAGCAACUCACUCCAAAUGAACAAAUUGUCAGUCAUAUCAUCAAACAAUUAGGGUGCAUAUUCCACUUCAAUAGAUUUAACUGUUGGAUAGUGAUUUAACUUUCAACAUUCAAUUACUCCAGAUUCAAACUUCAUUAACCCAUGGAACUGAAUCUAAAAUCAAAACUUUACAAAUCUAUUCGAACAAACGUAGAAAUCAAAGAAAAAUUGAAGCUCAAAAGAAAAUCAACGAAAAAUAGAGAGACAACAAGAAUUACCUCAAAAUUGCAGUAAUACUCGGAGACGAUUUGAAUAUGAAAAGCCAAUACUUAUGGGAGAUGAAAAACUUCAUAAAAAUAUAGUUCUUGGAGAAUCGGGAAGUUUUCCAAUUUUUCGUCUGGGAAACUCUGCAAGAUGAAGAACCUAUAGUGGAUGAGAGAAUGUGAUGAAGUAUCGAUGGAUGACAACACAAGAAAAUGGUGG